rnacentral:rRNA from 1 species
AGGACGAACGCUGGCGGCGUGCUUAACACAUGCAAGUCUUACGGAAAGGCCCUGCUUUUGUGGGGUGCUCGAGUGGCGAACGGGUGAGUAACACGUGAGUAACCUGCCCUUGACUUUGGGAUAACUUCAGGAAACUGGGGCUAAUACCGGAUAGGAGCUCCUGCUGCAUGGUGGGGGUUGGAAAGUUUCGGCGGUUGGGGAUGGACUCGCGGCUUAUCAGCUUGUUGGUGGGGUAGUGGCUUACCAAGGCUUUGACGGGUAGCCGGCCUGAGAGGGUGACCGGCCACAUUGGGACUGAGAUACGGCCCAGACUCCUACGGGAGGCAGCAGUGGGGAAUAUUGCACAAUGGGCGGAAGCCUGAUGCAGCAACGCCGCGUGCGGGAUGACGGCCUUCGGGUUGUAAACCGCUUUCGCCUGUGACGAAGCGUGAGUGACGGUAAUGGGUAAAGAAGCACCGGCUAACUACGUGCCAGCAGCCGCGGUGAUACGUAGGGUGCGAGCGUUGUCCGGAUUUAUUGGGCGUAAAGGGCUCGUAGGUGGUUGAUCGCGUCGGAAGUGUAAUCUUGGGGCUUAACCCUGAGCGUGCUUUCGAUACGGGUUGACUUGAGGAAGGUAGGGGAGAAUGGAAUUCCUGGUGGAGCGGUGGAAUGCGCAGAUAUCAGGAGGAACACCAGUGGCGAAGGCGGUUCUCUGGGCCUUUCCUGACGCUGAGGAGCGAAAGCGUGGGGAGCGAACAGGCUUAGAUACCCUGGUAAUCCACGCUG